rnacentral:rRNA from 1 species
GCUAUCGGCAAUAGCACGCUGCAAUACACCCGUUCCCAACUGAUCACUGAAGAUAAGCAACGUUGCGCGUGGUUGCUAUCC